AUUGAACGCUGGCGGCAUGCUUUACACAUGCAAGUCGAACGGUAACAGGCCUUCGGGUGCUGACGAGUGGCGAACGGGUGAGUAAUGCAUCGGAACGUACCCAGAGGUGGGGGAUAACGCAGCGAAAGCUGUGCUAAUACCGCAUGUGAUCUGAGGAUGAAAGCGGGGGACCGAGCAGCAAUGUUUGGCCUCGCGCCUUUGGAGCGGCCGAUGUCGGAUUAGCUAGUUGGUGGGGUAAAGGCCUACCAAGGCGACGAUCCGUAGCUGGUCUGAGAGGACGACCAGCCACACUGGGACUGAGACACGGCCCAGACUCCUACGGGAGGCAGCAGUGGGGAAUGUUGGACAAUGGGCGCAAGCCUGAUCCAGCAAUGCCGCGUGAGGGAAGAAGGCCUUCGGGUUGUAAACCGCUUUUGGCAGGAACGAAACGGUGUCCGCUAAUACCGGGCGCUAAUGACGGUACCUGCAGAAUAAGCACCGGCUAACUACGUG
rnacentral:rRNA from 1 species